rnacentral:rRNA from 1 species
GUUAGAAAUGCAAGGAUGUUAAUAGCGUUCUUGCUUGACUAAGGCUCCGGAGGAAGCCACGGCUAACUCUGUGCCAGCAGCCGCGGUAAUACAGAGGCGGCAAGCGUUGUUCGGAAUUAUUGGGCGUAAAGAGCACGUAGGCGACUGUGUAAGUCGGUUGUGAAAGCCUUCCGCUCAACGGAAGAACGGCAUCCGAUACUGCAUGGCUUGAGUGUGGGAGGGGAGAGUGGAACUUCUGGU